rnacentral:lncRNA from 1 species
UAGAAAAGAGCGCUUCUCCUUUCACACCAGGGUGCAAGGUGCGACGAAAAUCCGGAACAGGAUAAUUCCCGGGAGUGGUGCUGGGUGUGUCUUGCAAUCCUGUCCUCAGGACUGUGCGGGGCAAGGCCAGUCCUCAGCUGUGCUAGGCCCAGCAAAGGAAGGGCAGCAACUUUCCAUUGGCUCCCGCUGGGGAGGUGAAGCAGUUUCACAGAAUCGAGUUCAUGGAAUGGAGCAAAGGGGGAUGAACUCAGAGGAAAUGAUUCAGAAAAAAAGAACAGGCUUCAUUGUCCCACUUGACUGGAAAUACCUGCCCCUCUUUUUACCUCCAGCCUUAAAACAGAAUGGCAUUGCACUGGCAAUGUUCAUACGCUGAGAUAGGCAGAACGGCUAAGGAACAAGCCCUCCUCUGAUUUCUACUCUGCUGCUUGCUGUUAGGAUCUAGAAGAAUGAGAGCCAGUGGCCUGUGGUACAUYAUCAAGCUUUCUGAUUGUAAACAUGAAUCAUAAUAAACAUCUUACAUUUUUAUUGGCUCA